CCGAUUAGAGUUUGAUCCUGGCUCAGAACGAACGCUGGCGGCAUGCCUAACACAUGCAAGUCGAACGCAGUAGCAAUACUGAGUGGCGGACGGGUGAGGAACACGUGGGAACAUGCCGAAUGGUGGGGGAUAACUGCGGGAAACUGCAGCUAAUACCGCAUAAGCCCUGAGGGGGAAAGAUUUAUCGCCAUUCGAUUGGCCCGCGGCAGAUUAGGUAGUUGGUAGGGUAAAGGCCUACCAAGCCGAUGAUCUGUAACUGGUCUGAGAGGAUGACCAGUCACACUGGGACUGAGACACGGCCCAGACUCCUACGGGAGGCAGCAGUGGGGAAUAUUGGACAAUGGGGGAAACCCUGAUCCAGCAAUGCCGCGUGAGUGAAGAAGGCCUUCGGGUUGUAAAGCUCUUUUGCCUGUGACGAUGAUGACAGUAACAGGAGAAUAAGCCCCGGCUAACUCCGUGCCAGC
rnacentral:rRNA from 1 species